AAGUAAUAGGUAGACACGAUAACGGAGCACCCGCCACUCUUCACGCUGAGUCUGCGUCUCUCUCUCUCUGUGUACAGUGCCGUUGCUCUUCUCCUCUGCCUACGCUCAUCACCGUCCUACACACGCGCACACCAGACCACCACCACCACCAUCCCUCUUACGACUCUCACGGCUCCUUUUCUUUUCGUCUGUUGCAAGGCAACCACAGCCACAACCGCAGCAGCAGCAGCAGCGAUGACGGACGUCAACUUCGGUCGGCACAUUAUUAUCGAUGGGCUCCCUAACAAUGUCACUCCCGAUAAGCGCGACCUCUUCCAGCGCCACUUCUCGCGGCGCAUCGGGGAGCUGCUCGGCGGUGAGAAGUUCAGCCUGCAUCUCCUGACGGAUCCGGAGACAGCGCUCCUAUCGGGUGCAAUCCUCAGCUGUGUGACAGAGGCUCAGGCGGAGGCGGCGCUGGCGAAGCUGAAUCGCUUCCCCUUCACCAAGUCUGCCGUGCUCACGACGUACCGCUGGAGCUCACUCGAGGAGGCGCGCAAGGACGAUGGCCCGUACGUGCCGCCGCCUAUGGCGAACGACGAUGACGAGGAGGAGGCGGAGCUGGUGCACAAUAUGGCUGAGGACCCGGAUGCGCGUCCGCAGUUUUUGAUCAAGUCUGGCGUAUCCUUCGACUGCGACUGGUAUUGGUUCAACUGGGAGAAGAAUGAGCCGGAUCUGUACCGCCGCCGCAAGAUCAGCAAGGACGACCCGCUCUGUCGCUGGUCCGAGGUGGACCGGGACAACAAGAAACUGAGCUCCGGCAUGGUGUGCAGUGCACUGCCGGUGUCACGCCCGCUGCCGGUGUGGUCUACGUACGGCUCCAUGGUGAUCUCGCAGCACGAAAAGGGCCUGCGCGUGUGGGCCGGCCGCAGCAUGCGCCUCCACUUCGAGAUCACGAUGGACAUCAACGCCUUUAUGGUGUCUCCGUGCGAGAAGUACAUCAUUGUUCAGACGCCGAAGGACAUCAGCAUCAUCAACCUGCGCACUGCAAAGAAGAUCCGCACCAUCGGAAACCUUGACCUGCACAGCGAUGACCUCUGGCCUAUCAUGCGUUUCAGUGCUGAUGAUUCCCUGGUGGUGGUGUGCAAGACGGGCUACCGCCCCAUGGACUCGACCGAGGUGCCGGAAGGCCACCUGAACAUCUACGUCUCCGAGACGAUGAAGCUGCUCAAGGGCCGCGGCAGCUCCGGCCAUAGCUUCGCCAUCCCUGGCCUGUACAAGGCGGAGUGGAACCCGGUGGUGGGCACGCAGAUGGCGUACGUCUGCGAGCUUGGCCCGAACCAAGGCUGGAAGGCUGUUGUGGCUGACAUGGUGGUGAACGAGGACGGCGAGGUGGAGCAGCGCGUGCUGAACGAGCGCAACUUUCUGGUGGCAACGCGACUGGACAUGCUGUGGCACCCGGCAGGUACCUUUCUGUGCGUGAGGGUGGCGUCGAAGGGGCCGACGGAGUACUUCCUUUUCCACGUCGCGGAGCGCAACGUGCCCAUCACUCGCCUCUCCAUCAAGCGUGGCUACAUCCCGACCCGCUUCGCGUGGCAGACCGGCGGUGACAAGUUUGCCGUACUCCUGAAGCGCGAUGGCGUCGGCGCCGGCCUUGGCGAGACCGGCGUGCUGCAGAUCUUCAUGAUCGGCAAGCAAGGCCCCAAGGUGCUGCACGAGGUGGCCACAUCGGCGACGCAUCUGUUCUGGGCCCCCCGCGGCGGGCGACUGGCGGCUGCCAACUUCGACAAGUCAUUGCUGCACUUCUUCGUGCUGCACGACAACAACACCAUCACGGACAAGAACAAGUUGAGCGGCAUCAGCGCGACGAACUGUGAGUGGGACCCGACUGGCCGCUACUUCGCCGUGUGGGUGUCGUCGAUUCACGAGCAGACGCUCGCCCCACAGUACCGCAUCUUCGACUACACCGGCAACGAGCUAUUCAAGAAGGCCAUCAAGCCCCUCUCGCACUUCGCCUGGCGCCCGCUGCCGCCCACUCUGCUCACGCAGAGCGACGUGAAGAAGGCGCGCGACAUGAUAAAGACCCUCGUGCGCGACUACGAGGCUACCGAGAUGGCGCAUAAGGCUGAGGAGCAGGAGCGCAUCGAUAAGGAGCGCAAGUCGAAGGAGGAGGACUACAUCAAGCGCAUGAAGAUGGCUGCCCGCUAUGCUGAGGAGAAGGGCAUGGUGCAGACGCGUGAGGAGCAGCGCGCUAACUCGAAGUGGGUUCGCUACAAUAACAACCGCCUAAAGGCACUGCCGGACGAGGAGCACAUGGUUCACGAGGACGUCACGGAGUACCACCUCGUGUCGCGUCGCCAGGUCGGCACGGGUGUGGCGAAGAAGUAAGGCUUGGCGAUCGACGACGGAGGAAGAAGAGGCGGCACAGUGCGUGACAACGUCGGCCGAAGGCGUUGUUACGGCGAAGCUGGAGAAAACGAAAAGGCGGACGGGGAAUACGCGAACACCAGGCGAAAAGGGCACGACAGUGGCCGGAGAGGGGCAGUGUGUGUACGGUGACGCACACCCAUCAUCCUGCACACGCGCACACACCCAUGCAUCGUCCACGCUCUCACGAACUGCCUCCCUCCAGCUCGUCAUGCUCGUCUUCCCAGCGUUGAUCUCUUCCGUUUCCGUUGUGCCCACACACGCCGCGCACACAUGCGCCGUUUAUGUGUGCGUGUGCACACGUCUCUGCGUUCGCGCCCUCUUUCUCUCUCCCCGCUAUGUGUAUGUGUAUGUGUGUGUGUAUGCCUUUGACGGCCUGUGCCGUUGAUGUUGCCCGUGUCCCGACGGCGUGCGUGUCGGCGUGUUCACGUGUACGUAAGUUAUGUGCGAUUUGUCGUUAUGAUAUAGUCUUCUGUUCAUGAGGUUAACUAAACCGUGGCGUUGCUCCACUGGUGUUGUGCGGCUCGCUCUCCCCCGGCCCCAUUCUGUGCAUGGGAGUGGAGGCGCGCGGGUGAGGUGGCGGGGCACGAUACGCGUUGUGCUGUCCGUGCUGUCCUUCCUCUCUCUUGCUGGUUUUGUUGUUGAGGCUGAGGUGUUUGUACUCGUUGUUUUUUUUUUCUAAGAAACUUGGCGCGGGGUCACAAGCACUUCCACGCACGAACGCUGGCAACACACGCAGUUGUGCAGGUAGGUGCUUGUGUGGGCGUUAGCGGUGGUUCUUUUCUUCACCGAACACGUGUGAGUGGCAAGCGGUCGGCUGCGCUUCUCUCGCACUUGUCUCUCCACCUGCGCGCCUUCUAACCGACCUAAUG
rnacentral:misc_RNA from 1 species